UGAGACAAAUGCUUUCGUUCUCUAGGUUC
rnacentral:piRNA from 1 species